CGGUUGCACGCUGGUCAAGAUAUAUUUCUCGAGUCGAGAUAUCACUUGUGUCACAAUGUCAAAAAUGUGAAUGAAAACUAAUCUGAUAUUUAGUUUCGUAGCUAUACGCAUUGCCUUACUGUAUAGAGUGUAACACAUGUCGUAAUCAGGAGUCUGGUGGGUAAAAUUCGACUAAAAAACGACCAGAUUGAAUAUCUAGUGUAAUGGCCGCUUGCCAUUUGCUACGAAGACAGUUCACUGUGGUGUUGCUGGCUGUAGUUGUUCUUGCUCUGGGAUCCUCUUGCUUUGCAGAAGAGCCAAUGGAGCCAACGGAACCUACACCUACUGAGCCUGAGGAGGGACCAAGCAACAGCACUAACCAAAGUUCUAACUUGUUUACGACUCCUACAACAACCUCAACACAUAGCAUAGCUACUUCAAGCUCUCUUUAUUCAGAGCAGUGGAGCACUUCCAGUUUUACUGCUAGUGUUGUCAGUAAAAAUACUGAAAAUCCUCCUAGAAAUUCUCAAGUUCUUACAACUGCAGUUAGUACCUAUGGAAAUGGAGCGCUGGUACCUACAUCAGCAGUUUCAAAACCUUCUACUGGAAAUAGCUUGUUUAUUGCUACAAGUAAGACACAAGGUUCAGUUGUCAUGUCUUCCCAAGCCUCUGUACUCCCGAAAGCUUCUGCAGUUGGAAGCACAAAUGCAUUGAAAACUUUGCAUUUAAGUAACUCUUCUUCAGUUGUCCAGAGAGCUACAUCUAGUGCCUUCUUACAGACAGAGAAUGCUGUUAGUGCGAGCCAGUCUUCCACAAUCAUGCCUGAUACAACCAAGGCUUUGCCAUCACCUUCUUCUAUAACAUCUAGCUCUGCAUUGCAAACUAAAACUUUCUCAAGUAUGGAUCAUUCUUCAACCAUCUUGUCUAACAUGACAUAUGUUGUCCAAGGGAUAAUAACCUCAACCAUUUCCCCAUCAUCAUCUGUUUGUAUUGAGUGCACUACAGUUUCAUGCUCUACUGUAGUUUCAAACUCCACUGUUUUUGGAGUUAGUCCUUCACCAUCCUUAUCUAGGACUCAAGGAACCACUUUUCGAACGAUGACACUAUCUUCUAAUAGCAGCAUUGCAAUGGAAAAAACUACAAAUUCUAGCAAUAUUUUAACGCCCACCACUACAGGGAUAAAUAUGACAAGAACGUCUGUGAUUAGGACAGCACCAUUAUCAGUGAUCCCCACAAGUUCAUGGAAUCAGUCUUCGGCCUCUGAUUUUAUGGCACAGACUUCAACAGUUUCUCCCAGUAGUGCAGGAUUAUUUUCAAGUGUUUACAGCAAACAGUUGAAUUUCACUGCCUCAUCGUCUGUGUUGCCUAGAACGUCUUCUAUCGUGCUAACAACUCCAACUACCCCACCAGUUCACGCGCCUUCAGCUCCCCCUCAAGAUGUCCAGGCUUAUAACACCAGCUCCACCAGUAUCAGGGUAACAUGGCGACCCCCACCAUCAGAUACUCUUAAUGGCGUUCUUACAAAGUAUGAAGUCUUAGUACGAAAACUCGUAAGAUCAUCAGCAUCACAGAGUGCAUCUCAAACCAGCUCACCUCGAGUUAGUAGUACAUAUAUAACUGCGUCUUUAUCAAGUGGCGUUAGACACACUCUAAGUACUAUUAGCGCAACUGGAACUAAUCCGUCUUCCUCUACGAUUGUUCCUCCCACUGAACCAACGGAGGCCCCUAUUGAACCUACAUCACCUCCGGAGAGCUUGGUGGCUCCCAUCGACGCAGGCUUGAAUCUCAGCAUAAUCGUGAGCAAUCUUGAGAAGUUUACAUUUUACGAAGUGCGGGUUCGUGCUGUGACUGUUCGACCUGGUCCUUAUAGUGCUCCUGUGAAUGUUCAAACGGAUGAAGAUGUUCCAAACACUUGUCAGAACAUCUCGUUAUCCAGUCAGAAUUCAACAUCAGUGAUGGUUCACUGGACAAGGCCUUUACAGACCAAUGGCAUUCUUUUGGGAUACAAGAUAUAUUAUGGGUUAAAUGGUUCAAGAUUUUCGACUAAAAUGGUUGCAAGUAAUGAAGAGGCUUACCUCCUGGAGGGCCUGCUACCGUUUACUCUAUACAUAAUUAGAGUGAUGGCCUUUACAAGAAAAGGAGAAGGAGAACCAGUCUCGACCUCCUUUAAGACGCUGGAAGCAGCCCCUUCAGCCAUUCGAAAUCUUACUGGAGUGGCCAUCAACUCGACAGCUGUAAAUAUCUCUUGGACAAGACCAGAGUAUCCAAACGGAGAAAUCAAAUAUGUUGUUAUGAUGACAACUUCAAGCGGAGAAGAAUUUUUGCAGUCUGUUAAGAUCUACCAAGGGCGCGAGACGUAUUGUAUAGCUACGGGGCUCAAACCAGUUACCCGUUACCUAUUUUCUGUUUCUGCCAUGAACGUUAAACAUCUAUGGCAAAGUACAGUGGUUGAUGUAGCGGUGAUAACAUCAGCAGCAGAGCCUUCUGGUCCACCGCUGGAUAUUCAAACCACAGUAAAGAAUUCUACAUCCAUCCUGGUACAGUGGCAGCCACCACUUCCUUCUCUCAGGAAUGGGUUGAUAAAGAAAUAUGUCGUUCAAUAUUCGUCAGAUAAAAGUACCUACCUAUCCAAAGCCACGCAGGACAAUAGCACUCGUCUAUUGCUUACAUCUCUGUCCCCUUAUACAAUGUAUUACAUCAAAGUGCAGGCUGUUAAUCUCGCUGGGGCGGGUCCUUUUAGUGAACCUGUGACCAACAUGACGUUGGAAGAUGCACCCAGUCCUCCCACAAACAUCACGGCCAGAAGUGUCAAUGCAACGUGCGUGUUGGUCUCGUGGGGCAAGCCAGUUCAUCUGAACGGCGAGACGAUCAGCUAUGAACUUUACUAUAGAUUGACGUCUGUUAAUGCAAGUCAAGAUAGCCUUAUCUACGAUGGUGAAUCCACCAUCCAUGUGAUCUGCGGUCUGCACGAGUAUGCCAACUACACUUUCACUUUAUAUGCUAGUAAUGUUAAGUUCGGGUAUAAAAGUUCUCCUGUCCUUGCUAUGGAAACCACUCACCCAGCUGCGCCGUCAGGCCCUCCACAAAACACUCGUGCAGUUACCAUAUCAUCUCGUUCGAUUCUCGUCCAGUGGGAACCACCCAAGGCUCUGGAUAUGAAUGGUAUAAUCACGAGAUACCUUAUCAACAUGAAACGCCCAGAUGGUGCUUAUGAAAGUCGCACUUUGAAUGGGACCAGUAACUCGUGGGUAUUUAAGGGUCUACGACCAUACAAAGUGUAUGUUUUUACUGUGCAAGCUGUGAAUUUGGUUGGCGCAGGCCCUCGAAGCCCUCCUAUAUCAAACACAACCUACGAAGAAAUUCCUGAUGCACCCAUCAUUGAUCAAGUUACCAACCUAAGCUCCACAGUUUUACAGAUCGGCUGGCUCGUUCCUUUAAAUCCAAACGGAAAGUUGACUGAGUUUGCUGUUUGUUGGGAACUCCUUGAUUGGUCGAGCAAAACGUGUAACGUAACUGAUGGUACUACGAGAACUUUCAAUAUAUAUGGACUAGAACCGUACAGUUUGUAUAACAUCACCAUAAGAGCUGCAACAUCCCAAGGUUAUGGCCCGUUUGUUUCAGGUUUAUACCGCACCAUGGAAGGAGUCCCAUCGAAACCACAGAAUCUCCAUGCAUGGAAUACAAGUGCUACAUCGAUAUUUGUCACGUGGAAAGCACCAGUAAAGAACAACGGAAUCUUAAUUUCCUACAAGGUUUCCUACAGGCCAAGUCAAAAUUCGUCUGUUCCUGACAGCGCGGAUUUUGGGCUGUCCACCAAUUUUACUUUAAGAAACUUGAAAGCUUUUACAUUUUAUUGUGUUUGUGUACAAGCCACAACUAGUCAAGGGCUUGGAGAUAAAGCAUGUGGAUCUUUUAGUACUGAUGAGGGUGUUCCUGGAGCAGUCUCAUCGUUCAGUGCCCAGGCAGAUUCUUCUUCUUCAAUCCACUUAACCUGGAGCGCGCCAAGUCAUCCUAAUGGGAAGAUCGGUUACACCUUGUACUAUUACUCAACGAUCAACCCUGAACUGAAUGACACAAUAGGAUUUCUUAGUGAUCACCUAUCUUACUAUGUCAAUGGGUUGGAGCCCUAUACAAACUACACCUUUGGCAUCACUGCUUAUAACCUGAAGAAAGGUUUAGAAGGUCCUGCGCGUCUUGUUGUAGCAAAGACCAAACCUGCUCUUCCAGAAGGUCCUCCUUUAAAUGUCAGAGUUGUCAAUUCUACAGAUGAGUCGUUAACCAUCUCGUGGGAUCCCCCCGCUAAGCCUAACGGACCAAUAAAAGGCUACCGUCUAAUGAUUAACGAUGUAAAAACACCCAAUGAGAAAGAUUACCCAGAAGUUGAUGAUAAAAUGUACACCAUAAAGUCACUCAAAGCUUCGCAUCAGUAUGCUAUUAAAAUUGGUUCCAUUCCCGCUUGGGGCGUGCAAACUGGACCCUGGACAGAUAAAUACAUCUUUACAACGCAACCUUCAGCCCCUCCUGCAUUGCGGCCCAUCAAGCCUCCAGACAAAGACAUGAUCACAUCAAACGAGAUCGUCAUAGAGUUGCAAAAAGCAUCGAAUGAAAAUGGAAAAAUAAACUUCUACCAGGUUAUUGUUCUGGAAAUAGCUACCGAUGAAGAGGGAAAUCCUGUACAACAGGAUAAAAACCCAGACGAGUAUAAACCAUCAGAUCUGCUAACUUACCAGGAAGCCAGGAAGAGGAAACCAGACCUCGUACCAUACAUCACUGCAGAAUUUUCUGCAGAAGACUUCCACAGUUACCGGAUAUUUAGAGUCGGUGACGCAAAGAAUUAUAGUACAACGGCGAGAAGGAGGAGGGACACGGAUGGACAUUACUAUAAUGGACCACUUGAGCCUGGUACAUACUAUAGUGUGUUCCAAAGGGCAGCAGUGACAAGGGACCUGUACACGUCGACCGGUUGGCUGCGACCAGUGUCCACAGCAGCAUCGUCUACAGCUGCCAAAAGAAAGGCUGGUUCAAGUACGAACACUGGACUGGUUGUUGGAUUAUGUGUGACUUUCAUACUCAUCAUUAUUUUUAUCGUCAUCGUUUUUACCAUUCUCUGGAAAAAACGUCGUUUCGACUUCGGUGUCAUGUUGGAUGAUGAGAGCAGUUACACUGGAGGUCGAUCCUUACGGCUUAAAAAGAUACGAGGCAGUAAGCGACGUACGUCAAGUCGUGGUCUAAUGGGAUCUACUGACUCUUUGGAUAACCUUGAUGACAUCAACAGAAGGCGACAGCCGAUUCCUGUUGAAGACUUUCCUAACCAUGUUCGUAGGAUGCAUAUUGAUGGAGAUAUAGGUUUUUCAGAAGAAUACGAAUUAGUUCAACCCAACGACGAGGAAUUUACUUGGCACCACUCUCUCCACUCAGCAAAUAAAUACAAAAACAGAUACGCCAACAUCGUGGCCUAUGAUCACUCGCGUGUCAUUCUCACUCCGAUUGAAGGCGUAGCAGGAUCGGAUUACAUCAAUGCUAACUACAUCGAUGGGUACAAUCGGUCUGGUGCUUAUAUCGCUUGUCAAGGACCCCUCCCAGAGACAUUUGAUGACUUCUGGCGUAUGAUUUGGGAGCAAGGAACAGCGACUGUCGUCAUGCUUACCCAACUAGAAGAGCGUGGAAGGAGAAAAUGCGACCAGUAUUGGCCAGAUCGUGGCACCAAAAAUUAUGGUAUGAUCAGAGUAACUGCCAGUGAGACAUCCCACAUGUCUUAUUACAUCUUGCGGACAUUUAUUCUGUCUCACAAGCAAGAGGAAGAAGAACCCCGACAAGUAAAGCAGUACCACUUUACUUCGUGGCCUGAUCAUGGCGUCCCUUCACACCCAGCACCACUUCUGUCACUGGUGCGUACGGUGACCAAUGCAAAUCCCGCCUCUUCUGGGCCGAUAGUUGUGCAUUGUAGUGCCGGCGUUGGUCGUACAGGGACAUACAUAACCCUUGAUGCUAUGUUACAGAAAAUUGAAAAAGAGCAAACGAUAGAUGUAUUUGAAUUUGUCAAGCAGAUGAGGACGAAAAGAAAUAUCAUGGUUCAAACAGAGUCCCAAUAUGUAUUUAUUUACGAUGCUCUUAACGAAGCCGUCUCGUGUGGUGUCACAGAAUUUGAGGCCAAGAAAUUCGGUGCCCGACUUCGCGAAUUACGAGAGGUUGACCCAAACACUGGCCGAACCUACAUGGAAAAAGAGUUCCUGCGACUUGUUAAAGAUGAAAGACACCCGUCUACAUUUAGAAAUGCUAAUCUUGGAAUUGACUCUUCCAAAAAUAGAUAUGCCAACAUAUUACCAUAUGAAAAAACUCGCGUGCACUUGAAAAUGCGUCCAGGAGAGCUCGGAUCGGACUAUAUUAACGCUAGUUACAUAGAUGGUUACUGCCGUUUGAAUGCUUUCAUAGCAACUCAAGCUCCAGUGCCAAACACAUUUGAAGAUUUCUGGCGCAUGAUUUGGGAACAAAAAUCAUCAGUCAUAGUAAUGUUAACAAGAGAAGAAGAGGGAGGCAAGGUGAAAUGUCACCGUUACUGGCCAUCUGAUGGUACGCGUAUAUUUGAUAAUGUUUUGGUAGAACUAUCGGAGGAAGUGUCAUACUCUGAUUAUGUCAUGAGGCAGUUUAGCGUAACACACACAGAGGAGAAGGAGGUCCGUAUUGUCCGUCAAUACCAGUAUAUGGACUGGCCUGAUAUUGGUUUACCAGAGUCUGGUGUGGGUGUUAUUGAUCUAAUAGGACAAAUUGAAAAGUGGCAACAACAAAGUUGUAAUUCAAUGAUAACUGUACACUGCAGUGGUGGUGUAGGCCGAACUGGAGUGUUUUGUGCUGUUAGUAUUCUGAUUGAACGAGUCAAGGCUGAAGGAAUAAUAGAUGUGUUCCAGACUGUACAGUCUCUUAGACUGCAAAGACCUGCCAUGGUUCAGACAAUAGAACAGUAUGAAUUUUCUUACUCAACUCUUCAAGAGUAUUUAGACUCCUUUGACUUGUACGCCAACUUCCAGUAACUGCACAGCGGUCAACGCAUGCGCCAGAGAAAAGAAACAGUAAAUACUGCUGACCUUGAAUAUUUUCAAAGAGCCCUGGGAAAAACAUAGUGAACUACAUAAAGCUAUAAUGAAAGAAAAAUAAUUGAUGGUAUUCAGAGAAGUUGACACAUGACGCUAAUAAGGCUGUGGCCCUCUAUGUUCAAUGUCUCUGAAUGAGAGGUGAUCAUGCAAGCCAUCUGAUCGUAUGCCAUCUGGCAGAGUUUCAUAGUACUUUUGCAUAUUUUGAAUUAGUUUUGAUGACAUGACAUUUUCUGAUAAAAUCUUUUAAACGAACCAUUUAAAAAG
rnacentral:misc_RNA from 1 species